GUCCACACUGUAAACGUUGAUGACUCGAUGUUGGCGAUACACAGCCAGCGUCCAAGAGCAAUCGUUAAGUCAUCCACCUGGGGAGUACGCCGGCAACGGUGAAACUCAAAGGAAUUGACGGGGUCGCACAAGCGGUGGAGCAUGUGGUUUAAUUCGAUGAUACGCGAGGAACCUUACCUGGGCUAGAAUGCCUUGAUGGGUACAGAGAUGUAUCGUUCGCAAGAACAAAGUGCAAGGUGCUGCAUGGCUGUCGU
rnacentral:rRNA from 1 species